UUAGGCAAGUUCCCUUUCACAUUAACUGACUGAUAGAGAGAGUUGGAGAAAGGAUGAGGCUUCAGGACUCCUGCAUUCGAGGAGGAAGCAAGUUCUUCUGGGACAGUGGCUUGCGAACGUUCAGCUCAGGGCACCAGUUACUCCCAGGACGGCCCGCCUCAAGACCUCGACAAUCAUGGGGACCCCCCCAAAAUCAUCAGGGCCCUGGAGCAGAACCCAGAGUAGAGAGUGGGUCUGGGUCCCCUACGAAGCACUGCACAGUGGUGUUGUUAAGGACAGUGGAUCUGAAGACCCCCGGAGUCACUGCUGCAGUGGCAUAGGGCAGCGGGCGUGAGGACUGCCUGUCGCUUUCUGUGGCAAGAGACUUUGGAAGACACCCCCGGGAGAGAAGCUGCUGAGUGAGCUGGCUGCAGGGCUGAGUCGCGAAGAGGCAGCAGCAGGUCCUGGAGCCAGAGAGGGGCUGCAGACAGAGAGAGAGGCAGAGGGGCGGAGUGCAGCUGCAGGAAGGGGCAUCCGCCUCACAGAGCUAAUCCCCAGAACUGCCAGGAGGAGGCGCCGUCCAGCGGUGAGCAGAGCACCCUGGUGCAGCAGCUUAGAAAUGCCUUUAAUAAAUAACAGAAAAACAGACAAAGAUCCCCAGCCCUGUCCCAGAAUUGUUCUGACCCACCCUCUCCAACCUCAGGAGCCGCCGGAGACAGAAAGUCCCCCCCCAUUCCCUGGUUGGCACUCACCUCUUUGGAGCGGGCACUGCAUAUCGCCCGUGCUGGUGCCUCUUGAUACAUGCCUGUGCCCAUCUGCAUUAUCACCCAGUGUGGCCCCAUCCAUUGCAGCCCGGUUUGGUUUUGCCUGGGGAGCUGCGAACCGGGUCACUGAACCAUGCAGAAGCCCUGCGGCUGGAUUCUGAGCUGGUGUAGAGCAUCUGUUUGAUGUCGGUGGCACACAGCCACUGAGACCCUGCUCCUGCCUUUCCAUGGCUAUUUCAUAGGCCUUUCGCCUGGCUCGUGCCAUCGACACCGAAGUGUGUCGGGGAUAGGGACAGGGCCAAGGAAGCUGUGUCACGCAUGGGGCGCUCUCAGGCCCCCACCCAGUGCCCCGGCACAGCCAGGCUGCAGAAGGGACGGGGCCUCUGAGUCAGCUGCUCUUGUAGGCCGCUGGCAUUCGUCUCCCUGGCUGGGCUUGGUGAAGGUGUCCCAGAGCCUGGGCGAGGGCACCCGCCAUUCAGAGCCACCCACAAGCGAGGAAGGCAGCAGCUCGGUGCGCUGAGUGUGCGGCUGGGCCCUGCCAGAUUGCUGAGUGUGAACCCCCCCCGCCAGCCUGUCUUUCCACGGGGGGCCCCCAGAAGUGGCCCGGCUACUAACGGCUGUGACAGCCCCAUUGGCUACACAGCUGGAGACCCCGCGCCGAGUCGCAGAUGCAGGGGAGAGCGUUGCAGAUAUUGAAAGUGGCCCUUUCAGGGCUAGAUUAAGGCAGGACAAUGGCCCUGGGCUGGCUCAUCUCUAACGUAGGCUGACAAAUAGAUGGCAGGCCCCUUGUCUGUGGCUUUGAUGUAUGCAAAUCCCACUGUCUGCGGCACUUCGCCCACUCCGGC